CACUGUCUUAAUUGUUGCUAAUCUCAGCAUAAAGUUAAUUUUGGAAGAGCAGCUUUCCUGAAAAGUCACUUGUCUUAAUUGAUACAAAGCUGUUACGUAGUUGAUACUAGAAAGGCUGCACGGUGGAAACCUAAAAGAUACAUGAUAGCAUGAGCCUGCUCCCUCUAGUUUAAGAGCAGUACAUUUACUUACUAAGUCACA